AGAAAACAAAUUAUUAAAGAAAUCAAUAAUUAUUAACAGUAACCUGUGCACACCCAGUGAUCGUCACACUCCCACUUCAUCCCUGUAUUCUGUGAAAACAUUCUCUUUGUAUUUAGUUUUAAACUGCUGCAUGUUUGGAUGUUGUUUUAGCUCCUCACCCAAACCGUUCCAGAGUUUUACCCCACAGAAUGAAAUACAGAAUCUUUUUCUGUUUGAACGGAUUUAGUUUAUUUUGACGUUGUAUUCUCUUCUUCAAUGAUAUCCCCCCCUCUCGAUAAGCAAUCAAAAGGUGUCAUCACAUAAAAGCAAAUCUAUAAAAUCAUCUUUUAAAGUUGUCCUAUAAGCCUCAGGUUACGUUUCCUGACUUUGUGCUCACAGCGAUGCUACAUGAAUUAUUUAACUGUCUGCUGGAACUAAGUGUCCUGCAGGUCACAGCACAUCAGUCAGUUGAUAACUUCUGUCUUGCUGUUCGUUAACGAUCAGCAGGUAGAAAUUAAUCUAGGUUAACGUUCCACCACAGAACACAGCUACAAGUAAACGUUAAUCUCUCAGUGAAGAACAGUUCAGUUCUGAGUUCAUAUCACUGUUCUCUGGUUUUUAACAGCUUCUGUUCAUUUCACUGAGAAAAACAUCUGAUGAAAUCCUUCUCUGUCAGAAACAGGAACGUUAUUGAGGUCUACCCUCCAUCACACUGGACCACAGAGCCUUGGUCUGGAUCGUUGGGAACAUCUGGUUUGAUGAACUGAGAGCUACAGAGAACAUGAACAUCCAGCUGUGGUUGUCUGAAGAGUCUUUUCUCCUUCAUCACUGUGAGGAAGAGCAGCACUGAUGUCCUCCUCAUCUUUCCACUAAUAACAAUACUGCUGCAGAUUCAGCUCCUCUCUUCAGAAUACAACUUGUCUUGUGACUGUUCAGUUUUUACAUUUCACUGUCAGCAACACAUUGUUUAUUUCAUCCAUUUAUUUCAUGUGUUUACACAUCUUUACAGUUCAGAAUUGUUAAUGUAGUUUUUAAAUGUGCAAUAAAGGUAAUAAUGAAGCUCCUGCCCUGAAUGUGUUGAUGUUUUAAUGC
ensembl:lncRNA